rnacentral:rRNA from 1 species
UACGGAAGGCAGCAGUGGGGAAUAUUGCACAAUGGGCGCAAGCCUGAUGCAGCCAUGCCGCGUGUAUGAAGAAGGCCUUCGGGUUGUAAAGUACUUUCAGUCGUGAGGAAGGUGUUAAGGUUAAUAACCUUAGCAAUUGACGUUAGCGACAGAAGAAGCACCGGCUAACUCCGUGCCAGCAGCCGCGGUAAUACGGAGGGUGCGAGCGUUAAUCGGAAUUACUGGGCGUAAAGGGCACGCAGGCGGUUAAUUAAGUUGGAUGUGAAAUCCCCGGGCUUAACCUGGGAAUGGCACUCAAGACUGGUUAGCUAGAGUCUUGUAGAGGGGGUAGAAUUCCGAUGUGUAGCGGUGAAAUGCGUAGAGAUGUGGAGGAAUACCGGGUGGCGAAGGCGGCCCCUGGGACAAAGACUGACGCUCAUGUGCGAAAGCGUGGGGAGCGAAACAGGAUUAGAUACC